CCGAUUAGGUAGUUGGUGAGGUAACGGCUCACCAAGCCAACGAUCGGUAGCUGGUCUGAGAGGAUGAUCAGCCACACUGGGACUGAGACACGGCCCAGACUCCUACGGGAGGCAGCAGUGGGGAAUAUUGGACAAUGGGGGCAACCCUGAUCCAGCAAUGCCGCGUGAGUGAUGAAGGCCUUCGGGUUGUAAAGCUCUUUUACCCACGACGAUGAUGACGGUAGUGGGAGAAUAAGCCCCGGCUAACUUCGUGCCAGCAGCCGCGGUAAUACGAAGGGGGCUAGCGUUGUUCGGAGUUACUGGGCGUAAAGGGCGCGUAGGCGGCGGACCAAGUCAGAUGUGAAAGCCCUGGGCUCAACCCGGGAUGUGCAUUUGAGACUGGUCUGCUAGAGGGUGGGAGAGGAUAGUGGAAUUCCCAGUGUA
rnacentral:rRNA from 1 species